rnacentral:rRNA from 1 species
UACGAGGGGGGCGAGCGUUGUUCGGAAUUACUGGGCGUAAAGGGUCCGUAGGCGGUGUGGCAAGUCGGUAGUGAAAUCUCUGGGCUUAACUCAGAGGCUGCUUCCGAAACUGCUGUGCUAGAGUGCGAGAGAGGCGAGUGGAAUUGCGGGUGUAGCGGUGAAAUGCGUAGAGAUCCGGAAGAACACCAGUGGCGAAGGCGGCCCGCUGGGCAGUGGCUGACGCUGAGGCGCGACAGCGUGGGGAGCAAACAGG